CCUACGGGGGGCAGCAGUGGGGAAUAUUGCGCAAUGGGCGAAAGCCUGACGCAGCGACGCCGCGUGAGGGAUGAAGGUCCUCGGAUCGUAAACCUCUGUCAGCAGGGAAGAACGGUCACUGUCCUAAUCAGCAGUGAAUUGACGGUACCUGCAAAGGAAGCACCGGCUAACUCCGUGCCAGCAGCCGCGGUAAUACGGAGGGUGCGAGCGGUAAUCGGAAUUACUGGGCGUAAAGCGCUCGUAGGCGGUAUGUCAAGUCAAGGGUGAAAUCCCCGCGCUCAACGUGGGAACUGCCUUUGAAACUGGCAAGCUGGAGUGUGUGAGAGGAUAGUGGAAUUCAAGGUGUAGGAGUGAAAUCCGUAGAUAUCUGGCAGAACAUCAGUGGCGAAGGCGACUAUCUGGCACAUAACUGACGCUGAGGAGCGAAAGCGUGGGUAGCAAACAGGAUUAGAUACCCUGGUAGUC
rnacentral:rRNA from 1 species